AGCGAACGUUUGCGGCGGGCCUAACACAUGCAAGUCGAACGGGCAGUCCCUUCGGGGGCUGUCAGUGGCGCACGGGUGCGUAACACGUAGGUAAUCAACCCUCGGGUUCGGGAUAACACUUCGAAAGGGGUGCUAAUACCGGAUGCGACGAGCGUCUCCUCGGAGAUGCACGGGAAAGAUCCGCAAGGGUCGCCCGAGGACGAGCCUGCGGCCCAUCAGCUUGUUGGUGAGGUAAUGGCUCACCAAGGCUAAGACGGGUAGCUGGUCUGAGAGGAUGAUCAGUCACACUGGAACUGAGACACGGUCCAGACUCCUACGGGAGGCAGCAGUGGGGAAUAUUGCGCAAUGGGCGAAAGCCUGACGCAGCCACGCCGCGUGAGCGAUGAA
rnacentral:rRNA from 1 species